CCUACGGGCGGCAGCAGUGAGGAAUAUUGGUCAAUGGCCGGAAGGCUGAACCAGCCAUGCCGCGUGAAGGUCAGUGCCCUAUGGGCGUUACACUUCUUUUGUGCGGGAGCAAUAAUGGUCACGUGUGGCCAGACGAGAGUACCGUACGAAUAAGCAUCGGCUAACUCCGUGCAAGCAGCCGCGGUAAUACGGGGGAUGCACGCGUUAUCCGGAUUUAUUGGGUUUAAAGGGUGCGUAGGCUGUGAGGUAAGUCAGCGGUGAAAUGCCCCCGCUCAAAGGGGUGAAGUGCCAUUGAUACUGCCUUGCUGGAAGGCGGAUGCCGUGGGAGGAAUGUGUGGUGUAGCGGUGAAAUGCAUAGAUAUCACACAGAACACCGAUUGCGAAGGCAUCUCACGAAUCCGCGAUUGACGCUGAUGCACGAAAGCGUGGGUAUCAAACAGGAUUAGAUACCCUUGUAGUC
rnacentral:rRNA from 1 species